UGGGGAAUAUUGGACAAUGGGCGAAAGCCUGAUCCAGCCAUGCCGCGUGUGUGAAGAAGGUCUUCGGAUUGUAAAGCACUUUAAGUUGGGAGGAAGGGCAGUAAAUUAAUACUUUGCUGUUUUGACGUUACCGACAGAAUAAGCACCGGCUAACUCUGUGCCAGCAGCCGCGGUAAUA
rnacentral:rRNA from 1 species